rnacentral:rRNA from 1 species
CGGCGGACGGGUGAGUAACACGUGGGUAACCUACCCAUAAGACUGGGAUAACUCCGGGAAACCGGGGCUAAUACCGGAUAAUAUUUUGAACUGCAUAGUUCGAAAUUGAAAGGCGGCUUCGGCUGUCACUUAUGGAUGGACCCGCGUCGCAUUAGCUAGUUGGUGAGGUAACGGCUCACCAAGGCGACGAUGCGUAGCCGACCUGAGAGGGUGAUCGGCCACACUGGGACUGAGACACGGCCCAGACUCCUACGGGAGGCAGCAGUAGGGAAUCUUCCGCAAUGGACGAAAGUCUGACGGAGCAACGCCGCGUGAGUGAUGAAGGCUUUCGGGUCGUAAAACUCUGUUGUUAGGGAAGAACAAGUGCUAGUUGAAUAAGCUGGCACCUUGACGGUACCUAACCAGAAAGCCACGGCUAACUACGUGCCAGCAGCCGCGGUAAUACGUAGGUGGCAAGCGUUAUCCGGAAUUAUUGGGCGUAAAGCGCGCGCAGGUGGUUUCUUAAGUCUGAUGUGAAAGCCCACGGCUCAACCGUGGAGGGUCAUUGGAAACUGGGAGACUUGAGUGCAGAAGAGGAAAGUGGAAUUCCAUGUGUAGCGGUGAAAUGCGUAGAGAUAUGGAGGAACACCAGUGGCGAAGGCGACUUUCUGGUCUGUAACUGACACUGAG